rnacentral:rRNA from 1 species
UACGGGGGGGGGCAAGCGUUGUUCGGAAUGACUGGGCGUAAAGGGCGCGUAGGCGGUUUGUACAGUCAGGUGUGAAAUUCCCGGGCUCAACCUGGGGGCUGCACUUGAUACGUAUGGACUGGAGUGGGGAAGAGGGUCGUGGGAAUUCCCAGUGUAGAGGUGAAAUUCGUAGAUAUUGGGAAGAACACCGGUGGCGAAGGCGGCGACCUGGUCCUUGACUGACGCUGAGACGCGAAAGCGUGGGGAGCAAACAGG